rnacentral:rRNA from 1 species
UGGGGAAUAUUGCACAAUGGAGGAAACUCUGAUGCAGCGACGCCGCGUGAGUGAAGAAGGUCUUCGGAUCGUAAAACUCUGUCCUUGGUGACGAAAAAAAUGACGGUAGCCAAGGAGGAAGCCCCGGCUAACUACGUGCCAGCAGCCGCGGUAAUACGUAGGGGGCGAGCGUUGUCCGGAUUUACUGGGCGUAAAGGGUGAGUAGGCGGUAAUAUGUGUCAGAUGUAAAAGGCUAUGGCUUAACCAUAGUUAGCAUUUGAAACUGUAUUAAUUGAGUGCAGGAGAGGUAAGUGGAAUUCCUAGUGUACCGGUGAAAUGCGUAGAUAUUAGGAGGAACACCAGUGGCGAAGGCGACUUACUGGACUGUAACUGACGCUGAGUCACGAAAGCGUGGGUAGCAAACA